rnacentral:rRNA from 1 species
UUCAACAACGGAUCUCUUGGCUCUGGCAUCGAUGAAGAACGCAGCGAAAUGCGAUAAGUAAUGUGAAUUGCAGAAUUCAGUGAAUCAUCGAAUCUUUGAACGCACAUUGCGCCCCUUGGUAUUCCGAGGGGCAUGCCUAUUCGAGCGUCA